AUCCAGCGGACGAGCCCCAAAUAGAACGAAACGCGCGUCAAACUGGAU
rnacentral:hammerhead_ribozyme from 1 species